CGCGAAUUGCCCUUCGGGGUGCACCAGGCGCGAAAACUUUACAAUGCCGGCAACGGCGAUAAGGGAACCUCGAGUGCCAGGUUACAAAUCUGGCUGUCGUGAUGCCUAAAAAGCAUUGCAUAGCAAGGGCCGGGCAAGACCGGUGCCAGCCGCCGCGGUAACACCGGCGGCUCGAGUGGUAACCGUUAUUAUUGGGUCUAAAGGGUCUGUAGCCGGCCGGGUAAGUCUCUUGGGAAAUCUGGCAGCUUAACUGUCAGGCUUUCAGGAGAUACUGCCUGGCUCGAGGCCGGGAGAGGUGAGAGGUACUUCAGGGGUUGGGGUGAAAUCUUGUAAUCCUUGAAGGACCACCAGUGGCGAAGGCGUCUCACCAGAACGGACCUGACGGCAAGGGACGAAAGCUAGGGGCACGAACCGGAUUAGAUACCCGGGUAGUCCUAGCCGUAAACGAUACUCGCUAGGUGUCGGCCACGGUGCGACCGUGGUCGGUGCCGUAGGGAAGCCGUGAAGCGAGCCACCUGGGAAGUACGGCCGCAAGGCUGAAACUUAAAGGAAUUGGCGGGGGAGCAC
rnacentral:rRNA from 1 species